rnacentral:rRNA from 1 species
CAAAUUUGAAAUCUGGCCCUUGCAGGGUCCGAGUUGUAAUUUGUAGAGGAUGCUUCGGGUACGGCUCCGGUCUAAGUUCCUUGGAACAGGACGUCACAGAGGGUGAGAAUCCCGUAUGUGACCGGCCGCCACGCCCGUGUGAAGCUCCUUCGACGAGUCGAGUUGUUUGGGAAUGCAGCUCAAAAUGGGUGGUAAAUUUCAUCUAAAGCUAAAUACCGGCCAGAGACCGAUAGCGCACAAGUAGAGUGAUCGAAAGAUGAAAAGCACUUUGGAAAGAGAGUUAAAAAGUACGUGAAAUUGUUGAAAGGGAAGCGCUUGCAAUCAGACUUGCCCGUGGGUGAUCAGCCGGUAUUCUUACCGGUGCACUCGCCCAUGGUCAGGCCAGCAUCGGUUUGGGCGGCUGGACAAAGGCCCCUGGAAUGUAGCUCCUCUCGGGGAGUGUUAUAGCCGGGGGUGCAAUGCAGCCAGCCUGGACCGAGGACCGCGCUUCGGCUAGGAUGCUGGCGUAAUGGUUGUAAGCGACCCGUCUUGAAACACGGACCAAGGAGUCUAACAUCUAUGCGAGUGUUUGGGUGUCAAACCCAUGCGCGUAAUGAAAGUGAACGGAGGUGGGAACCCUUAAGGGUGCACCAUCGACCGAUCCUGAUGUCUUCGGAUGGAUUUGAGUAAGAGCAUAGCUGUUGGGACCCGAAAGAUGGUGAACUAUGCCUGAAUAGGGUGAAGCCAGAGGAAACUCUGGUGGAGGCUCGCAGCGGUUCUGACGUGCAAAUCGAUCGUCAAAUUUGGGUAUAGGGGCGAAAGA